GUACUGUUGAUGAGUCUCAUAAUAGGACGAAACGGCCGUCCAGUGC
rnacentral:hammerhead_ribozyme from 1 species